UUCCUACGGGAGGCAGCAGUAGGGAAUCUUCCGCAAUGGACGAAAGUCUGACGGAGCAACGCCGCGUGAGUGAUGAAGGCUUUCGGGUCGUAAAACUCUGUUGUUAGGGAAGAACAAGUACAAGAGUAACUGCUUGUACCUUGACGGUACCUAACCAGAAAGCCACGGCUAACUACGUGCCAGCAGCCGCGGUAAUACGUAGGUGGCAAGCGUUAUCCGGAAUUAUUGGGCGUAAAGCGCGCGCAGGCGGUUUCUUAAGUCUGAUGUGAAAGCCCACGGCUCAACCGUGGAGGGUCAUUGGAAACUGGGGAACUUGAGUGCAGAAGAGAAAAGCGGAAUUCCACGUGUAGCGGUGAAAUGCGUAGAGAUGUGGAGGAACACCAGUGGCGAAGGCGGCUUUUUGGUCUGUAACUGACGCUGAGGCGCGAAAGCGUGGGGAGCAAACAGGAUUAGAUAC
rnacentral:rRNA from 1 species